rnacentral:rRNA from 1 species
GCCUCUUGGACUGGGACAACUGUUGGAAACGACAGCUAAUACCGGAUAUUAUGAGAUUCUCGCAUGAGAAACUUAUGAAAGCUAUAUGCGCCAAGAGAGAGCCUUGCGUUCCAUUAGCUAGUUGGUGGGGUAACGGCCCACCAAGGCGACGAUGGAUAGCCGGCCUGAGAGGGUGAACGGCCACAAGGGGACUGAGACACGGCCCUUACUCCUACGGGAGGCAGCAGUGGGGAAUAUUGGACAAUGGACCAAAAGUCUGAUCCAGCAAUUCUGUGUGCACGAUGAAGGUCUUCGGAUUGUAAAGUGCUUUCAGUUGGGAAGAAGCAAGUGACGGUACCAACAGAAGAAGCGACGGCUAAAUACGUGCCAGCAGCCGCGGUAAUACGUAUGUCGCAAGCGUUAUCCGGAUUUAUUGGGCGUAAAGCGCGUCUAGGCGGAAAAAUAAGUCUGAUGUUAAAAUGCGGGGCUCAACUCCGUAUUGCGUUGGAAACUGUUUUUCUAGAGUACUGGAGAGGUGGGCGGAACUACAAGUGUAGAGGUGAAAUUCGUAGAUAUUUGUAGGAAUGCCGAUGGAGAAGUCAGCUCACUGGACAGAUACUGACGCUGAAGCGCGAAAGCGUGGGGAGCAAACAGGAUUAGAUACCCUGGUAGUCCACGCCGUAAACGAUGAUCACUA